CGCGAAGAACCUUACCUGGUCUUGACAUCCACAGAACUUUCCAGAGAUGGAUUGGUGCCUUCGGGAACUGUGAGACAGGUGCUGCAUGGCUGUCGUCAGCUCGUGUUGUGAAAUGUUGGGUUAAGUCCCGCAACGAGCGCAACCCUUAUCCUUUGUUGCCAGCGGUUAGGCCGGGAACUCAAAGGAGACUGCCAGUGAUAAACUGGAGGAAGGUGGGGAUGACGUCAAGUCAUCAUGGCCCUUACGACCAGGGCUACACACGUGCUACAAUGGCGCAUACAAAGAGAAGCGACCUCGCGAGAGCAAGCGGACCUCAUAAAGUGCGUCGUAGUCCGGAUUGGAGUCUGCAACUCGACUCCAUGAAGUCGGAAUCGCUAGUAAUCGUAGAUCAGAAUGCUACGGUGAAUACGUUCCCGGGCCUUGUACACACCGCCCGUCACACCAUGGGAGUGGGUUGCAAAAGAAGUAGGUAGCUUAA
rnacentral:rRNA from 1 species